GGCCCUCCACCCCCUGGAGCCUCUAAUUGGCUGUGCCACCCUUCACUUUGGCAAAGGGGACAGCGAGUGGCAGUGAUCCAAAGGUCCCGCCUAGAAGGAGUUGCCACAAUAGCCAGAGCCUGUAAACAGACAUGAACAGGGUCUGUAUUUCCCCUUUGGCCUCUGCCCUCUUGACCUGUCAACGUGUGACCUCCAGAGCGGAAGACCACGUACACACAGGACAUUCAUGUGAGAGGCAGCUGAGAAGAGGUCAUAAACCAUCAAAGACCCCCACAGCACCUUCCAAGACUCGCUCCUGAGGCCUUCCACCACCAGAGGACUGCAUGUGAUCCAAGUGAGGCAACAAAUCCAGAGCAAGAGACUGCAAAGCUCUCACCCUGGGGAGGUAUCUGGGCAUCUCCUGAAUGUAUAUUAAUCCACUGGACUCUAUGGUUUGAGGGACCCUCACCACCAAGAAGACCAGAAGAACAAGACCCACAGAAUGCUGCAGGGUUCCAAAGA